rfam:Camelus ferus unplaced genomic scaffold scaffold68050, whole genome shotgun sequence.
GAGGGUAUAGCUCAAGUGGUAGAGCACAUGCUUAGCAUGCAUGAGGUCCUCAGUUCAAUCCCCAGUAUCACCA